AAUAUUGCACAAUGGAGGAAACUCUGAUGCAGCGACGCCGCGUGAGUGAAGAAGGUCUUCGGAUCGUAAAGCUUUUUUCUUGGGGAAGUAGGUCUUUGGACUUGACGGUACCUAAGGAGGAAGCCCCGGCUAUCUACGUGCCAGCAGCCGCGGUAAUACGUAGGGGGCAAGCGUUGUCCGGAAUUAUUGGGCGUAAAGGGUGCGUAGGCGGCCUUUUAAGUCAAGUGUGAAAGCCCACGGCUUAACCGUGGGAUUGCAUUUGAAACUGGAAGGCUUGAGUAUCGGAGAGGGUAAUGGAAUUCCCAGUGUAGCGGUGGAAUGCGUAGAUAUUGGGAGGAACACCAGUGGCGAAGGCGACUACCUGGACGAAAACUGACGCUGAAGCACGAAAGCUAGGGGAGCAAAC
rnacentral:rRNA from 1 species